rnacentral:lncRNA from 1 species
UCGUCAAAAGGCUCUCUAUCAAAGUAGUGAUUGGAACCUUGGUAAUGUCGGCAUUCACGAUGCUCUUGCGAAGGACGAAGCUGCUGUUUUUAUUAUCAAAGUUGUUAAAGCUGGUGGUGCAAUUCAUCUAAUUUGAUAUCUUAUACAUCUUGCUCAUGUUCAACAUGCUCUUUGGCAUUGCAGCAGAGGGGAAGCAUCAUGAAACUGUGCUUGAUACCAAGUGAUGUUGGGGAGGUAUUGAACUUAGGCUGAAAACUUGAAAAAAAAAAAAGGUACAUCGGCACAACUAAUUGUGGCAAGGUAGAAACCCCAUUACAGCGUAUAUGACACA